rnacentral:misc_RNA from 1 species
UUAAGUUCAGCGGGUAUCCCCGCCUGAUCCGAGGUCAAGCGUUGCGUGUGUGGUGGCUGUUGCCAGCCGGUUGGGCGGGCGGUCCCCCCGCGCCGUCGUAACGAGCGCGACGAUCGGGGCGAAGGGCCACCGCCAACGGGUUCCGGGGGGGUCGCGCGCGAGGCGCGACGUCCCCCAACACCAAGCGAGGCUUGACGGGU